rnacentral:snRNA from 1 species
AUCCGAGUGCAAGGGCAUUAAGUAUUACAGUGAGGAUUCGUCCGAGUAUACUUUUUUGCUAGUUGAAAACUACAACUACUUGACCACUUCAUCUGUGGCAACACGGAUGGGAAUCUUUGAGCACCUUCAUUAUCG